CCAAACGACAGCGGGAUGUCCUUUGACAACCCAGUCUCCUACUAAAAAUGUAACAACCUUACAAAAUAGCAUGGUGAGAAAAUGUAAUGCUGUUACAUUCUUUUGAAGCUGCAGCAACGUGAAAUCUCGUCUCGUAGCUGCAGCAACGUGAGAUCUCGUAGCAUGCGAGACUCACCCCGUUCUGCCCUGAGAAAGGACCAUACCAGAAAGAUGCCUGGAUCGACUAAAAAGUCCUGUAUCUCCUGUCACGCCAUGAUUGGCGUGGCAAGAAAGAAGUGCAACCUUUGUGGAAGGGAGCAGCCAUACAAGGCAAUUAAAAUGAAUAAGUUAAAAAAAAUUGAAGAAAAACCACCAACAAAGUUCAAUGCCGUAAAGGCACUGGAUAGUGCCUUUAUUGAUUUACAUAAAUUGAAAGCAGUGGGG